rnacentral:rRNA from 1 species
GACAAACGCUGGCGGCAUGCCUAACACAUGCAAGUCGAACGGACAGAACAGGGAAGCUUUUCGGAGUGGAACUGGAAAGUUAGUGGCGGAUGGGUGAGUAACGCGUGGACAACCUACCUUGUAAAGGGGAAUAACCUCGAGAAAUCGAAGCUAAUACCCCAUAAUAACCUUGCUUCGCAUGAAGUAAGGAGGAAAGGCGGCCUUAGCGCUGUCGAUACAAGAUGGGUCCGCGUCUGAUUAGCUAGUUGGUGAGGUAAAGGCUCACCAAGGCGACGAUCAGUAGCCGGCCUGAGAGGGUGAACGGCCACAUUGGGACUGAGACACGGCCCAAACUCCUACGGGAGGCAGCAGUGGGGAAUCUUCCGCAAUGGGCGAAAGCCUGACGGAGCAAUGCCGCGUGAGUGAAGAAGGCCUUCGGGUUGUAAAACGCUGUCCUUAUCGAAGAGAGAGUGUUGUAGUAACUGACAAUACUAGGACGGUAGAUGAGGAGGAAGCCCCGGCUAACUAUGU